rnacentral:rRNA from 1 species
GGACCCGCACAAGCGGUGGAGCAUGUGGUUUAAUUCGACGAUAAGCGAGGAACCUCACCAAGGUUUGACAUGUAGCUGCAAGGUCUGGAAACAGAUCCGCCUUCGAGGGUGCUACACAGAUGCUGCAUGGUUGUCGUCAGCUCGUGUCGUGAGAUGUACCGUUAAGUCGGGAAACGAGCGCAACCCUUAUCCUAUGUUUUAUAUGUCAUAGGAGACUGCCCGUUUUAAAUGGGAGGAAGGUGGGAUGACGUCAAAUCAGCAUGGUUCUUACACCUUGGGCAACACACGUGCUACAAUGGGAGGUACAAAGGGACGCCAAACCGCGAGGUGGAGCAAAUCCCUAAAAACCUUCCUCAGUUCGGAUUGAAGGCUGCAAUUCGCCUUCAUGAAGCUGGAAUCGCUAGUAAUCGUGGAUCAGCUAUGCCACGGUGAAUACGUUCUCGGGUCUU